rnacentral:misc_RNA from 1 species
AGGACUAAGAAAAGUGGAUCGCCGCACCUGUCUUGUGCCACUUCGAGAUUCAGCUUCUAACUUCUGUUGCAAAGCUUCAGUUGCAAUCUCAUCCAAGAGGUCCUCUGCAUCAUAGGCAGCAUCUUUAAGUUCGUCGAGCCACUGCUUCACAGCAGGAUAUGUGAUUUGCUUCGCCUCUGCAUCGUUGAGCACUGCAUCAACACUCAACAGAGUGAUCUUCAGCUUUUGUAGCUGUAUAUCAUUGACUUUCCUUCCCCGGAAAUAGUCAACGAUUUCUUGAGAAGCCAAUCGAUCAAACAAAACUUGAAGGAAAGCUGAGAGAAAAGCACCACCCACCAAGGCACCAGCCAUGUUUU